rnacentral:tRNA from 1 species
GGAGAGGUGGCUGAGUGGCCGAAAGCGGCAGUUUGCUAAACUGUUGUACGCCAAAAGUGUACCGCGGGUUCGAAUCCCGCCCUCUCCG